UGAACGCUGGCGGCAUGCCUUCCACAUGCAAGUCGACCGGCAGCACGGGAGCAAUCCUGGUGGCGAGUGGCGAACGGGUGAGUAAUACAUCGGAACGUGCCCAGUAGUGGGGGAUAACCCGGCGAAAGCCGGACUAAUACCGCAUACGACCUACGGGUGAAAGCGGGGGAUCGCAAGACCUCGCGCUAUCGGAGCGGCCGAUGUCAGAUUAGCUAGUUGGUGGGGUAAAGGCCUACCAAGGCGACGAUCUGUAGCUGGUCUGAGAGGACGACCAGCCACACUGGGACUGAGACACGGCCCAGACUCCUACGGGAGGCAGCAGUGGGGAAUUUUGGACAAUGGGCGCAAGCCUGAUCCAGCCAUGCCGCGUGCGGGAAGAAGGCCUUCGGGUUGUAAACCGCUUUUGUCAGGGAAGAAACGCUCCGGGCUAAUACCACGGAGUAAUGACGGUACCUGAAGAAUAAGCACCGGCUAACUACGUG
rnacentral:rRNA from 1 species